CUUUCUGGGGGAAUUGAAAGACUAUGACUUAAUAAUUAACUGAUAGCCUUUUCCUCCCCAACAG
rnacentral:miRNA from 1 species